UACGAAGGGGGCUAGCGUUGUUUGGAAUUACUGGGCGUAAAGCGCACGUAGGCGGAUACUUAAGUUAGGGGUGAAAUCCCAGGGCUCAACCCUGGAACUGCCUUUAAUACUGGGUAUCUUGAGUUCGAGAGAGGUGAGUGGAAUUCCGAGUGUAGAGGUGAAAUUCGUAGAUAUUCGGAGGAACACCAGUGGCGAAGGCGGCUCACUGGCUCGAUACUGACGCUGAGGUGCGAAAGCGUGGGGAGCAAACAGG
rnacentral:rRNA from 1 species